rnacentral:misc_RNA from 1 species
AUAAGAAGAGAAUAGAGCACAUUACCUUGUGAGGGUCAUCUACCAACCAAUGUGGCCUCAUCAAAAAUAAAAAGCUUCUUCUACCAGCCUAGCAUGUAGAUCAAUACUAGAUAUGGCUACAAGAGAGAAGAUGCUUGAAGAUCGAAAGAGCAAAGAUUGUAAAUAAUACAACAUUUCCAAUGGAUUGGGAAGCUCCAACAACCAUGGUUGCUGAUUCUUUAUUAGAAUUCUCGCAUCCUCCUAUCAAAAUUCACAGAUGCAACCAUGAACAGCGUCCCCCCAAAUGAAAAAGAAAGUAGAAACGAUAGUACAUUGACAAAAGUAGAAAUUACGUGAAUGUAACUUUACAAAAGCCCAUCUUUUACUCAAAAAAAUGCUGAAGCUCAUUUUCAAUGAUGGAUACCAGUUCUCAAGCUGUCAAUGCACUGUGACAAUCCCGAUCAGUUAAAUACAGUAACUACAGUACGCUCUCAGUUGAUUACAGAUCCAAAUAAAUGGAAUUAAAUAGCUUUAGAGCAGUGAUUUACAUAAGCCCUAAUAUGUACCUUCUCUGCCGCUAAUGCACUUGAUUAUUCUCUGUUUUCCUCUGGAAAAGAAGUGAUCCUAGAAUAACAGCAAUGCCUGUUAUUGCAAUGGUGAAUAGAAGUCGUCUCCUUGAAUAAUCAUGUGGCUGCCUUAUUGGAGCACCUGGUGCUCCUUCAGCUUCCCUCACAUCCCUGGAAGAUCCCACAAUAUUAUCCGACACACCAGUGCAUCUAGUCUCAUGGUUGUAUCUUUCUCGCAGUCUAAUAUAUUUAUUACACAGAUGACAAAGUUCUGUCCGGUUCCCACAUACCUCCUGAAAUUUCAUAAUUGAAAGGAAAAAAGAGAGAUGCAGAUACAAAUUGGUAUUAAAGCAUGCAACUGAAAGCUGCCUUGUCAUUUCUAAAUUGUUCGUCUUACCUGAUGCUCAGCUAGAUCAAUUGCAGGCAAUGGAAAUUCGCAGAAUUCACAUGUGACUAUCCUUUGAGGACAAUUUUCAACUUUAUGAAUUGCUAGAACUUCACGCUCCAUUGUCUCACUGCAUAGCGAACAGGCCACCAGCGCAUGAGUGUUUAAGAAGUGUUCCUCAGCAUACUUUUUUGGGACCAUGUCGCCACAAAUUUUACACUUUUCAAGAUUCCGAGAACAAUGAGCAAAAUGCAAAUCAAUAUUCGAGGAAGGGAUAGCUUUGUCACAGUGACUGCAUAUGUUGGUGAUUUCCUCAGAUGCAAUAGCCAUCUCGCGAUACAACGACGUCGUUCCUCUGGUAAAGCAAACCCAAAAGGGAAUGGUUUGGAAUGGAGAGAUUUUGAAUUUGUUUGGGGAUUUUGAAGAAGAGAGCUAUUUCAUUACUUUGGUUGAUUGAACAGACUUUUAGAUCGAAAGAUCUUUCGG